rnacentral:lncRNA from 1 species
GGAAGUGUCGGUUGUGGACGGUGAAGUCGUCUUCGGUGGCCUGGGCUGGUAUAUCAUCCAGAGUUUGCAGAAGGCCCUCCGAUUCAACGUGCAGCUGCAGACGACAGACGAGCAGAUUUGGUCGAGUCGACGUCCUACAGGAGAAUGGGGUGGUCCACUGGGCAUGCUGGAACGAAACGAGUCGGACAUAUCGGCGCAUCCUGUGAUACCGACAGCUGACCGCAUCACGGUGGGCACACCAUUGCCAGCCUACGUGUACGCCAACCCACGGUACUACGCGGGCACGCCCAAUGAAUAUUUGACCAGCGUGUUCGGCUACUUGAUGAGCUUCGACC